UACGUAGGGGGCUAGCGUUGUCCGGAAUCAUUGGGCGUAAAGCGCGCGUAGGCGGCCCGGUAAGUCCGUUGUGAAAGUCAAAGGCUCAACCUUUGAAAGCCGAUGGAUACUGCCGGGCUGGAGUCCGGAAGAGGCGAGUGGAAUUCCUGGUGUAGCGGUGAAAUGCGCAGAUAUCAGGAAGAACACCUAUGGCGAAGGCAGCACUCUGGGACGGUACUGACGCUGAGACGCGAAAGCGUGGGGAGCGAACAGG
rnacentral:rRNA from 1 species